rnacentral:rRNA from 1 species
GACGAACGCUGGCGGCGUGCCUAAUACAUGCAAGUAGAACGCUGAAGGAGGAGCUUGCUUCUCUGGAUGAGUUGCGAACGGGUGAGUAACGCGUAGGUAACCUGCCUGGUAGCGGAGGAUAACUAUUGGAAACGAUAGCUAAUACCGCAUAAUAGUAGAUGUUGCAUGACAUUUGCUUAAAAGGUGCAAUUGCAUCACUACCAGAUGGACCUGCGUUGUAUUAGCUAGUUGGUGGGGUAACGGCUCACCAAGGCGACGAUACAUAGCCGACCUGAGAGGGUGAUCGGCCACACUGGGACUGAGACACGGCCCAGACUCCUACGGGAGGCAGCAGUAGGGAAUCUUCGGCAAUAGACGGAAGUCUGACCGAGCAACGCCGCGUGAGUGAAGAAGGUUUUCGGAUCGUAAAGCUCUGUUGUAAGAGAAGAACGAGUGUGAGAGUGGAAAGUUCACACUGUGACGGUAUCUUACCAGAAAGGGACGGCUAACUACGUG